GCCCCUGUAGUUCAACGGAUAGAACGCGGGUUUGCGGAACCUGAAAUCGAGGUUCAAUUCCUCGUGGGGGCA
rnacentral:tRNA from 1 species